CAGCACCUCAAGUGGUCAGGAUGAUUAUUGGGCCUAAAGCAUCCGUAGCCGGCGCUGUAAGUUUUCGGUUAAAUCUGUACGCUCAACAUACAGGCUGCCGGGAAUACUGCAGAGCUAGGGAGUGGGAGAGGUAGACGGUACUCGGUAGGAAGGGGUAAAAUCCUUUGAUCUAUUGAUGACCACCUGUGGCGAAGGCGGUCUACCAGAACACGUCCGACGGUGAGGGAUGAAAGCUGGGGGAGCAAUCCGGAUUAGAUACCCGAGUAGUCC
rnacentral:rRNA from 1 species